rnacentral:rRNA from 1 species
AGUGAACGCUGGCGGUAUGCCUAACACAUGCAAGUCGAACGGCAGCACAGUAAGAGUUUGCUCUUACGGGUGGCGAGUGGCGGACGGGUGAGGAAUACAUCGGAAUCUACUUUUUCGUGGGGGAUAACGUAGGGAAACUUACGCUAAUACCGCAUACGACCUACGGGUGAAAGCAGGAGAUCUUCGCACCUUUCGCGACUGUAUUAGCCGAAGUCGCAUUAGCUAGUUGGCGGGGUAAAGGCCCACCAAGGCGACGAUGCGUAGCUGAUCUGAGAGGAUGAUCGGCCACACUGGAACUGAGACACGGUCCAGACUCCUACGGGAGGCAGCAGUGGGGAAUAUUGGGCAAUGGGCGCAAGCCUGAUCCAGCCAUACCGCGUGGGUGAAGAAGGCCUUCGGGUCGUAAAGCCCUGUUGUUGGGAAAGAACAGCUGCAGGUUAAUACACGGCUGUUCUGACGGUACCCAAAGAAUAAGCAACGGCUAACUACGUG